AAUUCUUUUGUUUAUGUAUGUUUUAAAACUCGACUUCAAUUGCUGAGGCUCGAAGAAAUGCUGUAAUGUCGAAAAUAUGUAGCAGAAAAUUGACUAUCUGAGCAUCUAUUCGUGAAGCUUGACAGAGAAGUUUGGCAUCUGUGUACUCUGCUAUCUAUUGCUCAUUGUCCGAGUCUCCACAUUGUCUGUGAUUGUUUACGGGUUCAGUUAUAAGAAUCAAGUUGGUGGCUUUACCACAAUUGAUAAGAGAGCAGGGCACUCAGAAAAACAGAAUGCAGUAUUAUGAAGAAUCAGAAGCUAUGACAUCUUCCGGGCAAGUAGCCUAAUUCCAUGCCCAUCAAUGGAAAAAUCAUAGACAGGCAAUGUCUCGGAAAGAAAGAAAUGUCUUUUUAAUAGCUUUUCCUCAUUUCCUGUACCAGUGAAACGAUAAAUGAUUAUGCUCGUCUCAUCAAAGCCCUUGAUAUGUUGGAAUAGGGUUACUGAUAAUAACAUCACUGGAAUCGUAUGAUUGAGUCCUUAUAUCAUUUGACUCGACUACACAUAGAACAACUUCUAUCAGAUGUCAGAACACCGAUUGCCUUUCAACGCGUCAAAAGACUUAGAAAAAUAUGAGCCAAAAAAUCAAGCGAUCUAUAUUUUUAGAAUGCAGGGACUAAUUACUCUUAUAAAAGUCUUUAAAUUUCAUAUUUCUUCUCUGCAAAUCUCCCUCCCCCACAAACCCCCGCCUCAUCCAUCAAUGAUGUACUACUGCAAUGGGUACAGUUUUCAACAAGAAAUGAAACUUCAUGGUUGCUGCCUUGCAAGUUGCAACUUACACACUAUGGCAAGAAUUCUUAAAGUCAACUAAACUAAAUUCAUAGUCAACCAUACCGUUUCUAUAAUUACACAUUGAGACAUUUGAUCAGGAGCACUCUGACUAGCUAUAAUUCUUAUCCAUCUUUUUCAAUCCUCAAAUCAAUGGCAACAACAACAUUGCUAAAUGCUCAAUCAACAACCUCAUCUUCAUCCUUACCUUUCAAAAUCUUCUCCUCCAUUUCCAUCUUUUCCGCGCUUUCUGCACUAUCUUUCCUCUCCGCUACCACAUUUCACAACACCUAUCUCACUUCAUACACCUACAUUAUCUCCACCGCAUUCAUUGCAAUUCACCUCAUCCUCUUUCCCUUCCACCAGAGCUCGCGGAAUGUGAAGGUACUACAAAGUGGAUUGAUCAAGCACAUUGCAACACCGGCAGCAUAUUUUGUUGCUUUUGAUCUUUACUUCGUGCCUGAGAAAACAGUCAACGGUCUGUGGCUUGUGAUCUGCAUUUGGAUUGAUGUGAAUGCUCUGAUUCAAAUUACGAGGCCUGUCAAACUAGUGAAGCAUUUGCCAAAUUUUAUAUUGAUGGUCAUUACAGGUCGAGCUGUGGAUUUGUAUGGCUUCACAACUACGUACUGGAUGAUCAUGUUCUUUUGUAUAAUGGUCAUAUCUCUGAUGGACAUUUAUGGUAACAAAAUUUCUUCGCCUUCCCGCAAUGUCGUGGUUGAAACAAAGGUGGUCACGGAGUACUAAACUAACACUUGUUCAUUCAUUAAUUAAUAAAGGCUUAAAUUAACGAACUUAUGCCGAUCAUGAUUAUAUUUAUUUGUUGUUUUCAUGUAAAUUAUUAAUAGUAAAAAAAUAUUCAGUCAAAAAAAAAUAGUAAAAAAAUGUUACUUGCCUAAAAAUUAUUCUCAAUUUUUUUUAAUGAAAUAUUGAUUGUUAAGUUCCACUUUAGUAUUUCAGGUAACUAGUAAUGUUGAAACUCGACAUAAAUCAACAAAUUAAAAUCAAUUAUUUAUAUAUCAUGUUAUUAAAAAAAAUCGGAACAUAACCGAUUAUCUAGCGAAGUAGCGAUUACCUGAACUAUUUAUAAUUAUUCAAGAAGCAGCCUGCUCUUAGUCCCAAAUUUAUCAAUUUUUGAAGGGUCCAAUUUUCUAAUUAAUUUAAAGUUUAAAAUAAUACUAUCCUUUGAGGAUAAACAAUAUUAAUAUUUAGCUCACUCUAACAGCAUAUAUCAAAUAUUAUCUGAUGUUUGUAUUUUUUUUAUAAUUAAUUUUUAAUAAAUACAUACUAGAUAUUUGUUUUUGAUUAAAUAUUUACGAUAUAUUUCAACUUAUAUUCAUCUCAGUCACGCAAUUAUUUCAUAUCAAACAUUACCGAAAUAACGUGAUUUAUUCGUCGACACAUUCACGCACACACAAGAUAGCUGUUAUUCCCAGGUAGGAGUAAAAUUGAGCUCAAACAUCCGCCAACAAAUAAUCCACCCAUAAUCCUCGAUCACUCUAAUUUCAUUCCCAACAAGCUACAGGCCUACAGAGCAUAUUCCUAAUUCAUAUUCAUAGUUUUGUGUUCUGAAUGAUGGCAGUGCGUUGGAGUCUGACGUUGUGGCUGGGUAAGAUGACGUGGGUGAGUUUGAGUACUUGGAUUAUAUCUUGCUUGACUGUUGCUAAUCAGAUUGCUAUCUCUAUCCGCUCUGGCGAGAUUGGUCCUUUCAAUAUCGGCUAAUUCUGUUAAGUUCAGUAGAUAAUGGAUUCCGAGCCUUCUAUGGAUGCAUGGCAGGAGAAUGUAUAGGAACCUCCGGAGAUGGGCCUCGUCUGUCCUGGAACUAGCACAUAAGCAAGUUGUAUGGAAUUGAGCUUGAAGUAUAUUAGCUAGAAAGAUACAUAUAUACUAUUACUGUGUGAUGUACAUUCUGUAUAUAGGCUUGGAGUUGCAGUGCAUCCAAAAAGUGUGACUGCACAUCAUGGAUUAGUUGUAACACAGAAUCAGUGAAUAGUAAGAUGAUAAUACAACAGAGUAUUAUGUCUUGAGCAGUAUUUUAAAUUCUUUUGUGUA